rnacentral:misc_RNA from 1 species
AAGUCGUAACAAGGUUUCCGUAGGUGAACCUGCGGAAGGAUCAUUACAUUCAGUAGCCUAGCUACUUGUUUAUACCCUUGUUUUUGCGUACCUAUUGUUUCCUCGGCGGGCUUGCUCGCCGGUUUGACAAAACUAUAACCUUUUUUAAAUCUUCAAUCAGCGUCUGAAUUAUACAUAAUAAUUACAACUUUCAACAACGGAUCUCUUGGUUCUG